rnacentral:lncRNA from 1 species
AUUUUUAAUAUAUUUUCUUUCAGUUUCUCUCGAUUGCAAACACAAAAUUUUCACAUUAACAUCCGAUUGCGAACAUAAAAUGGGGUUACUUGAGAGUUCAUGGAAUAUAGAAAUCAUUUGAAACAGAUUACGAACUAGGGUUCCAGAGAAUUCAUGGAAAAUCACAACAGAUUAAGAUUUGUGAGACUACUUACCGAUUAAUAGCAAAUAGAUGCUUUAGUCGAAUAAUUUUGGAUGAACAACACCCAAAUUUCCACAACUUGAAGCCAAUUUAUAGAGAAAUCGACUAGGGUUCUUGAGAUCGCAUAAAUCACAUCAUUCCCCUAUUGCAGAGUUUUGUGACCUUUUCCCCCAAUUCAGUUAUGUCAUCCGCUAGUACUUCUAGCGGAGUAGGGGCAUAAAAGUCUAGAUUUUAUUAUAACGUCGUCCGCUAGUAGUUUUAGAGGACGUAGUUUUUCCAAUUUCAAUCUGGGCCCUUCAUUUUAGGAAUGGAAGGUGUAUAUAGAAUCGAUCAAGGGAAUACCUCUUAUUUGACAUACUCUCCUUAUUUGACAAACCUAUAUAAAGCCUCCUUAUUUUUCAUUUCUCUCUCUUCACAUGUUCAGCCAAAACAAACCCGUCGUUCCUUGCCCUAUUUCUCUCCAAAAUAAAACUGGCGAUAGCUAGAAAAAUUGCACCAAGCAACACGGAGAGGUUGAAUUAGAGGAAUCAAAGGGAAAAUGCCUAGAUCUCGACUUCGAUUACAGCUGUAAGAUUUCUAGGUUUCAGCUAUUUGAGUUUUUUCAAUGGGUUUAUUUUUUAAGAGGAAUCUAGUUUUUAUUUUGGGGACUUAACCUUUAGUUCGAAUGAAUUCUCUUUUUUUCGGCGCCGAUAAACUGUAUAAUCAUAUCAUAUUCUAAAGUGUGGGCGUUCAAGGUUUGAAACCGUUUGGGUGAAUUCUGAGACUUUUGGUUUAUGUUUAAUUAAUAAUUAUUAAUUUUAUGGACUUUUGGUUUCGAUUAGAUAGCUUUUUGAUUUUUAUGUCUAUAUGAAGUUAAUCUGUUUAGCUUUAGCUUUAGAUGUGAACUCUCUGUUGGGACGGAAGGUUUAAUUAUUGAAAUCAUAUAUGUAAAUUACAGUUUAGAAUCGAUUACUUUUGUCUCAAAAAAAAUUAGCAACUCUUUGAAAGUCUAGUGAAUAUUAAUAUAAAUAGAUUAUGUUCUAUUAUCUUAAAGAUAAUAUUAAAAAAUAUUCUAUAAAAUUAAAAAAACAACUUUAAAAACUAAUAUUUUUUAUUUUCCUGACCAAAUAUGACUAAUUUUAGUGAAAGUAGGGAGUAUUUGUCAAAUCAAACAAGACUAUUGGCUAAAAAAAUUGCUUUAACUCCUAUUGUUUAUAAGAAAGAACAAAAGAGGAGGAAAAAAGAACAAUAUAAGAAGUAAAAAAAGGAUGCACUUUCUAGCAGCCAACAUAGAAGAUUAUUAAAAUUAAGCGUGUUUUGGGUACUUGGCCUGGCUGUAUGAGGGAGUAGCAACCAGUUUGACCGGAUCUUAGGAUAUUCAUCUAACAUUUUACUCCAUUCUCAUCCAUAUGCUAAACAGAUGCAAACAUUUAGAUUUGGAGAGAAUUUGCUAGUUCUGAGAUUAGAAGAAAUCACUUGUUCGUGCAAUCAAUUUUCGGUAAGUCUUCAUCAAUGACUUUCAUGCCUGCUACAAAUAUAUUUUUAUCUAGUUCUUCUGAAUCUCUUGCUAGUUUAGAUUAUAAAAAUGAAUUAGAGUAUGUUAAUGAUGUUGAAAAUAGUAGUAAAGAGAACAGUUCCUUAUGUUGGUCAAUUGUUUUCUAAAUUGGAAUAAGCUAAUUUUUUUUAUAGAUCCUAUGUCCAAAAAAAUGGAUUUGAGAUUAGGAUUGCUACAAGUCAUAAAUAUGCUCACAGUAAUGAUUUGACGUCAAGGUUAUAAUAUGUAUGUAAAAAAGGUCGUAGACCAACUGUUGUAAAGACUUCAUUAGAUGAUGAAUGUGAUAACAAUAAGAAAACAAGACAACGAGACUCAAUUGGCCGAACAUUAUGCAAGGCUAAAAUGUAUGUUGUCCACGAUAAGAAAGAAGAUAAUUGGCGUAUUUUAGUUAUUGAGUUGGAUCACAAUCAUCAUUUAGUGACAUCUACCAAGUAGAUUUGAUUGAGACACAUAGAAAUAUUACGCCGGUAGAAAAAAAAAUUAAUUAACACAUUAAAUAAGGCGGAUAUUGGACCAAGUAGGAUGAUGAAAGUUUUGAGCACAAUGGGUAGAGGGAUGGAAAAUGUAGGUUUUAGUGACAAGGAUGUUCGUAAUGUAGUUAGGGAUUUAAGGCGUGACUCGAAGGAUGAAAAUGAUGCACAAGCUGUAGUCACUUAUCUGAAAAAAUUUAGUUUUAACAGUGCGAGUAAAUUCUUCUUGUCAAAUCAGGCGAAGACAAUCACAUAGCUUGUAUUUUAUGGGUAGACUCCAGAUCAAUAUUUAUGUAUCAAUAUUUCAGACACGUGGUUAGAUUUGACACUACGUAUAAGACAAAUAGGUAUAAUAUUCCAUUUGUUCAAUUUACCGGGGUCAACCACCAUUAUCACUCUAUUUUAUUUGGAUUUGCACUUUUAAGAGAUGAGACAAAAGACACUUUCAUUUGGGUAUUAGAUAUGUGGCUUGAAGCCAUGGACUACAAGGCUCCUGUAACCAUUAUAACUCACAAAGAUAAAGUCAUGAGCAAUGUUAUUGGUAGGGUACUCCCAUCCACUCAUCAUUUAUUGUGUUCUUGGCAUAUUAACAAUAAAUUUUCAAAACAAUUGCAUUAUGUUUAUGCAGAACACCCAUUUAAAGACGAUUUUAACAAUUGUGUCUAGAAUUCAUUGUCCAUUGGUGAGUUUGAAGAGAGUUGGGAAAUCCUUAUGAGAGAAUAUGAUUUGUCUCAAAAUGACUAAUAAUUUUGUAUGAUGUGAAGGAGAUAUGGAUAAACGCAUAUAAAAAGAGAUAUUUUGUUGCGGGAAUGACAACCACCGAAAGAAGCAAAG